GGUUAAGCGACUAAGCGUACACGGUGGAUGCCCUGGCAGUCAGAGGCGAUGAAGGACGUGCUAAUCUGCGAUAAGCGUCGGUAAGGUGAUAUGAACCGUUAUAACCGGCGAUUUCCGAAUGGGGAAACCCAGUGUGUUUCGACACACUAUCAUUAACUGAAUCCAUAGGUUAAUGAGGCGAACCGGGGGAACUGAAACAUCUAAGUACCCCGAGGAAAAGAAAUCAACCGAGAUUCCCCCAGUAGCGGCGAGCGAACGGGGAGCAGCCCAGAGCCUGAAUCAGUGUGUGUGUUAGUGGAAGCGUCUGGAAAGGCGCGCGAUACAGGGUGACAGCCCCGUACACAAAAAUGCACAUGCUGUGAGCUCGAUGAGUAGGGCGGGACACGUGGUAUCCUGUCUGAAUAUGGGGGGACCAUCCUCCAAGGCUAAAUACUCCUGACUGACCGAUAGUGAACCAGUACCGUGAGGGAAAGGCGAAAAGAACCCCGGCGAGGGGAGUGAAAAAGAACCUGAAACCGUGUACGUACAAGCAGUGGGAGCACGCUUAGGCGUGUGACUGCGUACCUUUUGUAUAAUGGGUCAGCGACUUAUAUUCUGUAGCAAGGUUAACCGAAUAGGGGAGCCGAAGGGAAACCGAGUCUUAACUGGGCGUUAAGUUGCAGGGUAUAGACCCGAAACCCGGUGAUCUAGCCAUGGGCAGGUUGAAGGUUGGGUAACACUAACUGGAGGACCGAACCGACUAAUGUUGAAAAAUUAGCGGAUGACUUGUGGCUGGGGGUGAAAGGCCAAUCAAACCGGGAGAUAGCUGGUUCUCCCCGAAAGCUAUUUAGGUAGCGCCUCGUGAAUUCAUCUCCGGGGGUAGAGCACUGUUUCGGCAAGGGGGUCAUCCCGACUUACCAACCCGAUGCAAACUGCGAAUACCGGAGAAUGUUAUCACGGGAGACACACGGCGGGUGCUAACGUCCGUCGUGAAGAGGGAAACAACCCAGACCGCCAGCUAAGGUCCCAAAGUCAUGGUUAAGUGGGAAACGAUGUGGGAAGGCCCAGACAGCCAGGAUGUUGGCUUAGAAGCAGCCAUCAUUUAAAGAAAGCGUAAUAGCUCACUGGUCGAGUCGGCCUGCGCGGAAGAUGUAACGGGGCUAAACCAUGCACCGAAGCUGCGGCAGCGACGCUUAUGCGUUGUUGGGUAGGGGAGCGUUCUGUAAGCCUGUGAAGGUGUGCUGUGAGGCAUGCUGGAGGUAUCAGAAGUGCGAAUGCUGACAUAAGUAACGAUAAAGCGGGUGAAAAGCCCGCUCGCCGGAAGACCAAGGGUUCCUGUCCAACGUUAAUCGGGGCAGGGUGAGUCGACCCCUAAGGCGAGGCCGAAAGGCGUAGUCGAUGGGAAACAGGUUAAUAUUCCUGUACUUGGUGUUACUGCGAAGGGGGGACGGAGAAGGCUAUGUUGGCCGGGCGACGGUUGUCCCGGUUUAAGCGUGUAGGCUGGUUUUCCAGGCAAAUCCGGAAAAUCAAGGCUGAGGCGUGAUGACGAGGCACUACGGUGCUGAAGCAACAAAUGCCCUGCUUCCAGGAAAAGCCUCUAAGCAUCAGGUAACAUCAAAUCGUACCCCAAACCGACACAGGUGGUCAGGUAGAGAAUACCAAGGCGCUUGAGAGAACUCGGGUGAAGGAACUAGGCAAAAUGGUGCCGUAACUUCGGGAGAAGGCACGCUGAUAUGUAGGUGAAGUCCCUCGCGGAUGGAGCUGAAAUCAGUCGAAGAUACCAGCUGGCUGCAACUGUUUAUUAAAAACACAGCACUGUGCAAACACGAAAGUGGACGUAUACGGUGUGACGCCUGCCCGGUGCCGGAAGGUUAAUUGAUGGGGUCAGCGCAAGCGAAGCUCUUGAUCGAAGCCCCGGUAAACGGCGGCCGUAACUAUAACGGUCCUAAGGUAGCGAAAUUCCUUGUCGGGUAAGUUCCGACCUGCACGAAUGGCGUAAUGAUGGCCAGGCUGUCUCCACCCGAGACUCAGUGAAAUUGAACUCGCUGUGAAGAUGCAGUGUACCCGCGGCAAGACGGAAAGACCCCGUGAACCUUUACUAUAGCUUGACACUGAACAUUGAGCCUUGAUGUGUAGGAUAGGUGGGAGGCUUUGAAGUGUGGACGCCAGUCUGCAUGGAGCCGACCUUGAAAUACCACCCUUUAAUGUUUGAUGUUCUAACGUUGACCCGUAAUCCGGGUUGCGGACAGUGUCUGGUGGGUAGUUUGACUGGGGCGGUCUCCUCCUAAAGAGUAACGGAGGAGCACGAAGGUUGGCUAAUCCUGGUCGGACAUCAGGAGGUUAGUGCAAUGGCAUAAGCCAGCUUGACUGCGAGCGUGACGGCGCGAGCAGGUGCGAAAGCAGGUCAUAGUGAUCCGGUGGUUCUGAAUGGAAGGGCCAUCGCUCAACGGAUAAAAGGUACUCCGGGGAUAACAGGCUGAUACCGCCCAAGAGUUCAUAUCGACGGCGGUGUUUGGCACCUCGAUGUCGGCUCAUCACAUCCUGGGGCUGAAGUAGGUCCCAAGGGUAUGGCUGUUCGCCAUUUAAAGUGGUACGCGAGCUGGGUUUAGAACGUCGUGAGACAGUUCGGUCCCUAUCUGCCGUGGGCGCUGGAGAACUGAGGGGGGCUGCUCCUAGUACGAGAGGACCGGAGUGGACGCAUCACUGGUGUUCGGGUUGUCAUGCCAAUGGCACUGCCCGGUAGCUAAAUGCGGAAGAGAUAAGUGCUGAAAGCAUCUAAGCACGAAACUUGCCCCGAGAUGAGUUCUCCCUGACUCCUUGAGAGUCCUGAAGGAACGUUGAAGACGACGACGUUGAUAGGCCGGGUGUGUAAGCGCAGCGAUGCGUUGAGCUAACCGGUACUAAUGAACCGUGAGGCUUAACCUU
rnacentral:rRNA from 1 species